GACCUCAGUUCAGGUGAGAUUACCGGCUGAAUUUAAGCAUAUUACUAAGCCGAGGAAAAGAAACUAACAAGGAUUCCCCUAGUAGCAGCGAGCGAACAGGGAAGAGCCCAGCGCUGAAUCCCCCGGGCCUCGCUCGGCGGGAAAUGUAGCGUUUGGGAGGGCCCGUCAACACGGCGACUCGCUCACUGGUUCAAGUCCAACUUGAAUGGGGCCACACAGAGGGUGACAGGCCCGUAGAGCAGGAGCGGUUGUCGUGUGGGUCUCUCCUUAGAGUCGGUUUGCUUGAGAGUGCAGACUUAAGUGGGUGGUAAACUCCAUCUAAGGCUAAAUAUGACCACGAGACCGAUAGCACACAAGUACCGUGAGGGAAAGGUGAAAAGAACUUUGAAGAGAGAGUUCAAGAGUACGUGAAACUGAAGUGGUGUAAACGGACGAGUUCGAAAAGUCCGAAUGGUGAGAUUCAAGCUUACCGUGCCGGUGGCCCUCGGGUUCAGAUGGCGUCGUCAGCUCGGGCUUCGGUUCGGGUCAUACGGCGUCACUCGUCCUGGGGGUAUCUGUCUGGUGCGGUGGGCUGCACUUCUCGCCUAGUAGGACGUCGCGACCCGUUGGGAUGUUCCGUUCACUGGCCCUCGGUGGAGCCCGCGCCGGAGCGUGGCCUUGUGCCGCGUUGCUGUUUGCACGGACCCGGGGUGACCUGAUCGGCGCCCGACGGUAUCAAAGCUUGGGAAGAGGCCGCACAGAGGAUGCGUUCGAUGGCCGUUUCGGCCUACACUCGGACAGGCCUGCACCCGGUCAGCGGCGCUUC
rnacentral:rRNA from 1 species